CCUACGGGAGGCAGCAGUCGAGAAUCAUUCACAAUGGGGGAAACCCUGAUGGUGCGACGCCGCGUGGGGGAAUGAAGGUCUUCGGAUUGUAAACCCCUGUCAUGUGGGAGCAAAUUAAAAAGAUAGUACCACAAGAGGAAGAGACGGCUAACUCUGUGCCAGCAGCCGCGGUAAUACAGAGGUCUCAAGCGUGGUUCGGAAUCACUGGGCGUAAAGCGUGGGUAGGCGGUUUCGUAAGUCGCGUGUGAAAGGCGCGGGCUCAACCCGCGGACGGCACAUGAUACUGCGAGACUAGAGUGAUGGAGGGGGAACCGGAAUUCUCGGUGUAGCAGUGAAAUGCGUAGAUAUCGAGAGGAACACUCGUGGCGAAGGCGGGUUCCUGGACAUUAACUGACGCUGAGGCACGAAGGCCAGGGGAGCGAAAGGGAUUAGAUACCCUGGUAGUC
rnacentral:rRNA from 1 species